rnacentral:tRNA from 1 species
GGGGAUUUAGCUCAGUGGUAGAGCGUUUGCCUAGCAGGCACAAGGCCCUGGGUUCGGUUCCCAGCUCCG